rnacentral:rRNA from 1 species
UACGUAGGGUGCGAGCGUUGUCCGGAAUUAUGGCGUAAAGGGCUCGUAGGCGGUCUGUUGCGUCGGGAGUGAAAACUCAGGGCUUAACCCUGAGCCUGCUUCCGAUACGGGCAGACUAGAGGUAUGCAGGGGAGAACGGAAUUCCUGGGUGUAGCGGUGAAAUGCGCAGAUAUCAGGAGGAACACCGGUGGCGAAGGCGGUUCUCUGGGCAUUACCUGACGCUGAGGAGCGAAAGCGUGGGGAGCGAACAGG